rnacentral:rRNA from 1 species
CCUACGGGUGGCAGCAGUGGGGAAUAUUGCACAAUGGGGGGAACCCUGAUGCAGCAAUGCCGCGUGGGUGAAGAAGCACUCCGGUGCGUAAAGCCCUGUCAGCAGGGAAGAAAAUGACAGUACCUGGACAAGAAGCCCCGGCUAACUACGUGCCAGCAGCCGCGGGAAUACGUAGGGGGCAAGCGUUAUCCGGAUUUACUGGGUGUAAAGGGAGCGCAGGCGGCGUGGCAAGUCAGAUGUGAAAACCCGGGGCCCAACCCCGGGAGUGCAUUUGAAACUGCCAUGCUGGAGUGCCGGAGAGGGAAGCGGAAUUCCUAGUGGAGCGGUGAAAUGCGUAGAUAUUAGGAGGAAUACCGUUAGCGAAGGCGGCAAUCUGGCUGGAAACUGACGCUGAGGUGCGAAAGCGUGGGUAGCAAACAGGAUUAGAUACCCUAGUAGUC